CCUACGGGUGGCAGCAGUGGGGAAUAUUGGGCAAUGGGCGCAAGCCUGACCCAGCAACGCCGCGUGAAGGAAGAAGGCUUUCGGGUUGUAAACUUCUUUUCUCAGGGACGAAGCAAGUGACGGUCCCUGAGUCCUAAGCCACGGCUAACUACGUGCCAGCAGCCGCGGUAAUACGUAGGUGGCAAGCGUUAUCCGGAUUUACUGGGUGUAAAGGGCGUGUAGGCGGGACUGCAAGUCAGAUGUGCAAACCACGGGCUCAACCUGUGCCCUGCAUUUGAAACUGUAGUUCUUGAGUACUGGAGAGGCAGACGGAAUUCCUAGUGUAGCGGUGAAAUGAGUAGAUAUUAGGAGGAACACCAGUGGCGAAGGCGGUCUGCUGGACAGCAACUGACGCUGAGGCGCGAAAGCGUGGGGAGCAAACAGGAUUAGAUACCCGAGUAGUC
rnacentral:rRNA from 1 species